GACGAACGCUGGCGGCGUGCUUAACACAUGCAAGUCGAACGGAAAGGCCCUGCUUUUGUGGGGUGCUCGAGUGGCGAACGGGUGAGUAACACGUGAGUAACCUGCCCUUGACUUUGGGAUAACUUCAGGAAACUGGGGCUAAUACCGGAUAGGAGCUCCUGCUGCAUGGUGGGGGUUGGAAAGUUUCGGCGGUUGGGGAUGGACUCGCGGCUUAUCAGCUUGUUGGUGGGGUAGUGGCUUACCAAGGCUUUGACGGGUAGCCGGCCUGAGAGGGUGACCGGCCACAGUGGGACUGAGAUACGGACCAGACUCGUACGGGAGGCAGCAGUGGGGAAUAGUGCACAAUGGGCGGAAGCCUGAUGCAGCAACGCCGCGUGCGGGAUGACGGCCUGCGGGUUGUAAACCGCUUUCGCCUGUGACGAAGCGUGAGUGACGGUAAUGGGUAAAGAAGCACCGGCUAACUACGUG
rnacentral:rRNA from 1 species